CCUACGGGAGGCAGCAGUAGGGAAUCUUCGGCAAUGGGGGGAACCCUGACCGAGCAACGCCGCGUGAAGGAAGAAGGAAUUCGUUCUGUAAACUUCUGUUAGAAAGGAAGAAAGACGGUUGGAGGAAAUGACAUCGGAGGGACGGUACUUUAUGAGAACGCCACGGCUAACUACGUGCCAGCAGCUGCGGUAAUACGUAGGUGGCAAGCGUUAUCCGGAAUGAUUGGGCGGAAAGAGGGCGCAGGCGGCAGCAAAGGGGUGUGGUGAAAGAGUGAGGCUUAACUUCAGUACGCCAUUGAUACUGUGGAGCUAGAGAGCAGACGAGGUACGUGGAAUUCCAUAAGUAGCGGUGAAAUGCGUAGAUAUA
rnacentral:rRNA from 1 species